UACGGGGGGGGUAAGCGUUGUUCGGAAUUACUGGGCGUAAAGGGCUCGUAGGCGGCCAACUAAGUCAUACGUGAAAUCCCUCAGCUUAACUGGGGAACUGCGUGUGAUACUGGAUGGCUUGGAUUUGGGAGAGGGAUGCGGAAUUCCAGGUGUAGCGGUGAAAUGCGUAGAUAUCAGGAGGAACACCGAUGGCGAAGGCAGGUCUCUGGGCCACUACUGACGCUGAGGAGCGAAAGCAUGGGGAGCGAACAGG
rnacentral:rRNA from 1 species